rnacentral:rRNA from 1 species
UUAGUAAACAGAAGCCUCGGUGGAAGAUUACUAAUGAGAGUGGCGAACGGGUGAGUAACGCGUGAGCAACCUGCCUAUGACAGUGGGAUAGCCUCGGGAAACCGGGAUUAAUACCGCAUAAAAUCGUAGAAACACAUGUUUUAACGGUCAAAGAUUUAUCGGUCAUAGAUGGGCUCGCGUCUGAUUAGCUAGUUGGUGAGAUAACAGCCCACCAAGGCGACGAUCAGUAGCCGGUCUGAGAGGAUGAACGGCCACAUUGGAACUGAGACACGGUCCAAACUCCUACGGGAGGCAGCAGUGGGGAAUAUUGCACAAUGGGGGAAACCCUGAUGCAGCGACGCCGCGUGAACGAAGAAGGUAUUCGUAUCGUAAAGUUCUGUCCUAUGGGAAGAUAAUGACAGUACCAUAGAAGAAAGCUCCGGCUAAAUACGUGCCAGCAGCCGCGGUAAUACGUAUGGAGCGAGCGUUGUCCGGAAUUAUUGGGCGUAAAGGGUACGCAGGCGGUUUAAUAAGUCGAAUGUUAAAGAUCGGGGCUCAACCCCGUAAAGCAUUGGAAACUGAUAAACUUGAGUAGUGG